rnacentral:misc_RNA from 1 species
AAUUCUCAAAUCUUCAUUGGUUUUUAUAGACUUUUGAAGGCUUUGGAUGUGGGGGUUGCUGGAAUCUAUUGAAUUCAGCUCUCCUUAAAUGCAUUAGUGGUUACUGUUCCCCACUUUUGAUGUGAUAAUUAUCUACAUCUUAUAAGUGGAGAUGUUAAGUGUAGCUGCUCUCUAACUGUCCGAUCUCUUUGGACAACUUGAACC